GACGGAGGAUGCAAGUGUUACUCGGAAUCACUGGGCGUAAAGAGCGUGUAGGCGGAUCAAAAAGUCAGAAGUGAAAUCCUAUAGCUCAACUAUAGAACUGCUUCUGAAACUCUUGAUCUAGAAUAUGGGAGAGGUAGAUGGAAUUUCUGGUGUAGGGGUAAAAUCCGUAGAGAUCAGAAGGAAUACCGAUUGCGAAGGCGAUCUACUGGAACAUUAUUGACGCUGAGACGCGAAAGCGUGGGGAGCAAACAGG
rnacentral:rRNA from 1 species